rnacentral:rRNA from 1 species
AUUGAACGCUGGCGGCAGGCCUAACACAUGCAAGUCGAGCGAGCGGCGGACGGGUGAGUAAUGUCUGGGAAACUGCCUGAUGGAGGGGGAUAACUACUGGAAACGGUAGCUAAUACCGCAUACCAUCAGAUGUGCCCAGAUGGGAUUAGCUAGUAGGUGGGGUAACGGCUCACCUAGGCGACGAUCCCUAGCUGGUCUGAGAGGAUGACCAGCCACUGUGGCACCGAUACACGGUCCAGACUCCUACGGUAUGCAGCAGGUGGGAAUAUUGCACAAUGGGCGCAAGCCUGAUGCAGCCAUGCCGCGUGUGUGAAGAAGGCCUUCGGGUUGUAAAGCACUUUCAGCGGGUAGGCGUUACCCGCAGAAGAAGCACCGGCUAACUCCGUGCCAGCAGCCGCGGUAAUAC